rnacentral:rRNA from 1 species
GACGAACGCUGGCGGCGUGCUUAACACAUGCAAGUCGAGCGGGGCGGCGAACGGGGGAGUAACGCGGGAGUAACUUCCCCCCUCUCUGGGAUAACAGUUGGAAACGGCUGCUAAUACCGGAUAGUGGGGGAUGAGUCGGGUCAUAUCAGCUUGGUGGUGGGGUAGUGGCCUACCAAGGCGACGACGGGUAGCCGGCCUGAGAGGGUUACCGGCCACAGUGGGCGGAGAUACUGCCCAGGCUCCGACGGGGGGCGGAAGUGGGGGAUAUUGCACAAUGGGCGAAAGCCUGAUGCAGCGACGCCGCGUGGGGGAUGAAGGCUUUCGGGUUGUAAACCUCUUUCGCUAUCGAAAGGGUAGGUGGAGAAGAAGCGCCGGCUAACUACGUGCCAGCAGCCGCGGUAAUAC